AACGAACGCUGGCGGCAGGCCUAAUACAUGCAAGUCGAACGCCGUAGCAAUACGGAGUGGCAGACGGGUGAGUAACGCGUGGGAACCUUCCCAAUGGUACGGAAUAGCCCGGGGAAACCCGGAGUAAUACCGUAUACGCCCGUAAGGGGAAAGAUUUAUCGCCAUUGGAUGGGCCCGCGUCGGAUUAGCUAGUUGGUGAGGUAACGGCUCACCAAGGCGACGAUCCGUAGCUGGUCUGAGAGGAUGAUCAGCCACACUGGGACUGAGACACGGCCCAGACUCCUACGGGAGGCAGCAGUAGGGAAUAUUGGACAAUGGGCGAAAGCCUGAUCCAGCCAUGCCGCGUGAGUGACGAAGGCCCUAGGGUUGUAAAGCUCUUUCACCGGGGAAGAUAAUGACGGUAACCGCAGAAGAAGCCCCGGCUAACUUCGUGCCAGCAG
rnacentral:rRNA from 1 species